rnacentral:rRNA from 1 species
GACGAACCGUGCAAACGUUGUUCGGAAUCACUGGGCAUAAAGGGCGCGUAGGCGGCUUAUCAAGUCAGGGGUGAAAUCCGGCAGCUCAACUGUCGAAGUGCCUUUGAUACUGAUGAGCUCGAGGGAGGUAGGGGUGUGCGGAACUUCUGGUGGAGCGGUGAAAUGCGUUGAUAUCAGAAGGAACGCCGGUGGCGAAAGCGGCGCACUGGACCUCUUCUGACGCUGAGGCGCGAAAGCUAGGGGAGCAAACGGG